CUCCAGUGUUUCCCCAGUCGUGAUAGCUUUCUAUUCUAUUUUCAGCCUCUGCACCGAUAACCCUUUUGUUCUCUCUGGAGCCCCCAUGCUGACAGGGCGUCCUUCCUCCUUUAUAAUCUGUCUGUCUUUCUGUAUAUUUAUCUCUGCAGGAAUGUAACUCCAAAGAAAGAAAAGUCAGCUCCAGGUUUAUUCCCUGCAGCUCAGCUGGCUGUUUAUGUCUCUACAAAGCAUUCACCCCAGAAAGGAAUGUGUACAGCUGGAGGCAUCGCAGAAAACAACACACCCCAAUGUCAGGUAACUGAGUCAGGUACACCGGGAACUCAAAACAGAUCUAUUUUUCCCUUUGUAUGAGGACAAAUGGAACCGUGAGUGCCCAAACUCCAGUGGGGGAAAGCGGCUGCGGGGGGAGAGGGGGUGUUGGGAGAAACAAAACAAGUGGUGUUAGGAUCUGUUUUUUUUUCUUUUUUUUUCCUUUCCCAGGGCUCCUGCACCCCGCCCUCAGGGCAGCCAGGCCAAGAACAGGAGUUGAUUCUUGACGGGAAAGCUCCAAAUGAGACCCGACCUUGAAGGUUCUGC
rnacentral:lncRNA from 1 species